rnacentral:rRNA from 1 species
CCUACGGGAGGCAGCAGUCGAGAAUCAUUCACAAUGGGGGAAACCCUGAUGGUGCGACGCCGCGUGGGGGAAUGAAGGUCUUCGGAUUGUAAACCCCUGUCAUGUGGGAGCAAAUUAAAAAGAUAGUACCACAAGAGGAAGAGACGGCUAACUCUGUGCCAGCAGCUGCGGUAAUACAGAGGUCUCAAGCGUUGUUCGGAAUCACUGGGCGUAAAGCGUGCGUAGGCUGUUUCGUAAGUCGUGUGUGAAAGGCGCGGGCCCAACCCGCGGACGGCACAUGAUACUGCGAGACUAGAGUAAUGGAGGGGGAACCGGAAUUCUCGGUGUAGCAGUGAAAUGCGUAGAUAUCGAGAGGUACACUCGUGGCGAAGGCGGGUUCCUGGACAUUAACUGACGCUGAGGCACGAAGGCCAGGGGAGCGAAAGGGAUUAGAUACCCCGGUAGUC